CUUCCUCCCUCUCCAUAGGAAGGCCAAGAUAAGCCCAGCUCCUGUUGCCGCGUGGGCAGGGCCUUGUCCGGUGUCCCUGAUAGGCCCAGUGUCCUGAAAAUGUCAGCACUGGUAAGAGGACAGUGAGACUUCACUGAGUUGCCCCUGUGGAAAGGAGGGGUCAGUUGCGCAAACACAAGCAUCAAUGCAGAAGGAAGAAGAGGAGCAAAGACAGAACAUUUCUAACUUGGAGAGAUUACCAGAAAGGAGCUCAUGUGACAUGGGACCUGCUUGCUCUUUGGAAAAGCAGGUAUUGAUGUGUCUCGUUUUUUAAUUUUCAGUACUUCUCUUCUUGCCCUAUGUGAUUCCAGGGCCCCAA